rnacentral:rRNA from 1 species
GGUAGCUGGUCUGAGAGGACGAUCCCCCACACUGGGACUGAGACACGGCCCAGACUCCUACGGGAGGCAGCAGUGGGGAAUCUUGCGCAAUGGGCGAAAGCCUGACGCAGCAACGCCGCGUGCGGGAUGAAGGCCUUCGGGUUGUAAACCGCUUCCAGCAGGGAAGAAAUUGACGGUACCUGCAGAAGAAGCCCCGGCCAACUACGUGCCAGCAGCCGCGGUAACACGUAGGGGGCGAGCGUUGUCCGGAUUUAUUGGGCGUAAAGAGCUCGUAGGCGGUUCGGUAAGUCGGGUGUGAAACCUCCAGGCUCAACCUGGAGACGCCACCUGAUACUGCUGUGACUAGAGUCCGGUAGGGGAGUGUGGAACUCCUGGUGUAGCGGUGAAAUGCGCAGAUAUCAGGAAGAACACCAGCGGCGAAGGCGGCACUCUGGGCCGGUACUGACGCUGAGGAGCGAAAGCGUGGGUAGCAAACAGGAUUAGAUACCCUGGUAGUCCACGCCGUAAACGUUGGGCACUAGGUGU